rnacentral:rRNA from 1 species
UACGUAGGGUGCAAGCGUUGUCCGGAAUUAUUGGGCGUAAAGAGCUCGUAGGCGGUUUGUCGCGUCUGCUGUGAAAACUCGGGGCUUAACUCCGGGCCUGCAGUGGGUACGGGCAGACUAGAGUGAUGUAGGGGAGACUGGAAUUCCUGGUGUAGCGGUGGAAUGCGCAGAUAUCAGGAGGAACACCGAUGGCGAAGGCAGAUCUCUGGGCCGUAACUGACGCUGAGGAGCGAAAGCGUGGGGAGCGAACAGG